rnacentral:rRNA from 1 species
AACCCUUGUCUUUAAUUGCCAUCAUUAAGCUGGGCACUUUAAAGAGACUGCCGGUGUUAAGCCGGAGGAAGGUGGGGAUGACGUCAAGUCCUCAUGGCCUUUAUGUCCAGGGCUACACACGUGCUACAAUGGGUGGUACAAAGAGCCGCGAACUCGCGAGAGCAAGCAAAUCUCAAAAAACCAUCCUCAGUUCGGAUUGGAGUCUGCAACUCGACUCCAUGAAGUUGGAAUCGCUAGUAAUCGCGGAUCAGCAUGCCGCGGUGAAUACGUUCCCGGGCCUU